CCUUCCUUCUCUUUAAUUUUUCUUCAAGUGAGAUUGAAGUAUAUCCCAAGUUGUUGAAAUUAUGGCGACAAAUAAAUUUUCAUCUUGUUUCUUAUUUUCGUUAAUGGUGUUUUUUCUCAUCCUUUUGCCACUGAUUUCAGGGCAAAUGAUACCAUGUCUACUGGGGAAAUGUAAAAACACAAGGACAUGCAAUGCAUCUUGCAAAUCUAGAGGAUACAAAGGAGGGGCUUGUAUAAGCAUGGACGUUCGCUCAAAAACCGGUGCUUAUUGCUGCAAAGUUAGAUUUGAAUAAUUGAAUCUCAAGAUUCUUCUGAUACAAGCCCCUCAUUAAUUGAUAAUUAAUUCUUAACUUUAUAUGUGUAAGGUUUUAUAUGAAUAAAAAAAUUAACCAAACAUCUUUUAUAUGUUUCGGCAUGGAUAUACUGUAUAUGGGCAAUUUAGUAGGUAACUUAAUUUGUCCCA